rnacentral:rRNA from 1 species
UGGGGAAUAUUGGACAAUGGGCGAAAGCCUGAUCCAGCCAUGCCGCGUGUGUGAAGAAGGUCUCCGGAUUGUAAAGCACUUUAAGUUGGGAGGAAGGGCAGUAAGCGAAUACCUUGCUGUUUUGACGUUACCGACAGAAUAAGCACCGGCUAACUCUGUGCCAGCAGCCGCGGUAAUACAGAGGGUGCAAGCGUUAAUCGGAAUUACUGGGCGUAAAGCGCGCGUAGGUGGUUCGUUAAGUUGAAUGUGAAAGCCCCGGGCUCAACCUGGGAACUGCAUCCAAAACUGGCGAGCUAGAGUAGGGCAGAGGGUGGUGGAAUUUCCUGUGUAGCGGUGAAAUGCGUAGGUAUAGGAAGGAACACCAGUGGCGAAGGCGACCACCUGGGCUCAUACUGACACUGAGGUGCGAAAGCGUGGGGAGCAAACAGG